GUGGGGAAUAUUGGACAAUGGGCGAAAGCCUGAUCCAGCAAUGCCGCGUGAGUGAAGAAGGCCUUCGGGUUGUAAAGCUCUUUUACCCGGGAAGAUAAUGACUGUACCGGGAGAAUAAGCCCCGGCUAACUCCGUGCCAGCAGCCGCGGUAAUACGGAGGGGGCUAGCGUUGUUCGGAAUUACUGGGCGUAAAGCGCACGUAGGCGGUCUUUUAAGUCAGAGGUGAAAGCCCGGGGCUCAACUCCGGAAUUGCCUUUGAAACUGGAAGACUUGAACACGGGAGAGGUGAGUGGAAUUCCGAGUGUAGAGGUGAAAUUCGUAGAUAUUCGGAGGAACACCAGUGGCGAAGGCGGCUCACUGGACCGUUGUUGACGCUGAGGUGCGAAAGCGUGGGGAGCAAACAGGAUUAGAUACCCCGGUAGUCC
rnacentral:rRNA from 1 species